UGCAGCAUGUUAAGGGAUGCUUGGAAUACUGAAAGAAAAAAUGGGCUUAUAGCCUUAUUACAACGAUUUGUGUGGACCCUUAUGCAUGUUCAUUAGCGCAUGUGCAAUUAUCCGCUUAUAUAGCGUUCUUCUAUAAUAUAUUUAAGGGCAAAUAUAAAAAGACUUCCCUCUCCAAUUUUUUAAAUUUUAAACUUUUUUUUUAUAUUUUGACAUAAAAUAUAAAAUAUAAACCUCCCGCCUCCUGGGAGUUUUUAAAAUUUAGCGAUGAGAAUCAAGGAAUUUAU